AGGAACCUGCCUCAAAGAGGGGGACAACAGUUGGAAACGACUGCUAAUACCGCAUAAGCCCACGGCUCGGCAUCGAGCAGGGGGAAAAGGAGUAAUCCGCUUUGAGAUGGCCUCGCGUCCGAUUAGCUAGUUGGUGAGGUAAUGGCCUACCAAGGCAACGAUCGGUAGCCGGACUGAGAGGUUGAACGGCCACAUUGGGACUGAGACACGGCCCAGACUCCUACGGGAGGCAGCAGUGGGGAAUAUUGCACAAUGGGGGAAACCCUGAUGCAGCGACGCCGCGUGGAGGAAGAAGGUCUUCGGAUUGUAAACUCCUGCUGUUGGGGAAGAUAAUGACGGUACCCAACAAGGAAGUGACGGCUAACUACGUGCCAGCAGCCGCGGUAAAACGUAGGUCACAAGCGUUGUCCGGAAUUACUGGGUGUAAAGGGAGCGCAGGCGGGAAGACAAGUUGGAAGUGAAAUCUAUGGGCUCAACCCAUAAACUGCUUUCAAAACUGUUUUUCUUGAGUAGUGCAGAGGUAGGCGGAAUUCCCGGUGUAGCGGUGGAAUGCGUGGAUAUCGGGAGGAACACCAGUGGCGAAGGCGGCCUACUGGGCACCAACUGACGCUGAGGCUCGAAAGUGUGGGUAGCAAACAGGAUUAGAUACCCUGGUAGUCCACACCGUAAACGAUGAUUACUAGGUGU
rnacentral:rRNA from 1 species